rnacentral:rRNA from 1 species
GCUGGCGGCGUGCUUAACACAUGCAAGUCGAACGCGAAAGUUUUCUUCGGAAAACGAGUAGAGUGGCGCACGGGUGAGUAACGCGUAAAUAAUCUACCCCUGGUGUCUGGGAUAACCAGCCGAAAGGCUGACUAAUACCGGCUAUAUACUUAGAUGUUGGUUUAAGUAGGAAAGGUGGCCUCUUCUUGAAAGCUAUCGCACUGGGAUGAGUUUGCGUACCAUUAGCUAGUUGGUAGGGUAAAGGCCUACCAAGGCAACGAUGGUUAGCGGGUCUGAGAGGAUGAUCCGUCACACUGGCACUGGAACACGGGCCAGACUCCUACGGGAGGCAGCAGUGA